UGUCUAUUAAUUGUAGACCUGUAUGAAAGGCAAAAUGAGAGCCCAACUGUCUCUUAUAACAAAUCAAUUAAACUGAUCUCCUAGUACAAAAGCUAGAAUAUUAACAUAAGACCAGAAGACCCUGUGAAGCUUUAACAAACUUAUUAAACCCAAUAAUAAUUACUUUCGGUUGGGGCGACCUUGGAAUAAAAAAGAACUUCCAACAUAUAACUUCCACAUAAAACAGGCAUACAAGCCUACACUAGACCCAGCACAGCUGAUAAUUGAAAUAAGUUACUCCAGGGAUAACAGCGCCAUCUUCUUUAAGAGCCCAUAUCAAAAAGAAGGUUUACGACCUCGAUGUUGGAUCAGGACAUCCCAGUAAUGCAGCCGUUACUAAAGGUUCGUUUGUUCAACGAUUAACAGU
rnacentral:rRNA from 1 species